GACGAACGCUGGCGGCGUGCUUAACACAUGCAAGUCGAGCGGUAAGGCCCUUUCGGGGGUACACGAGCGGCGAACGGGUGAGUAACACGUGGGUGACCUGCCUUUAGCUCUGGGAUAAGCCUGGGAAACUGGGUCUAAUACCGGAUAUGACUCCGCGGUGCAUGCUGUGGGGUGAAAAGCCUUGUGCGGCUGGAGAUGGGCCCGCGGCCUAUCAGCUUGUUGGUGGGGUGAUGGCCUACCAAGGCGACGACGGGUAGCCGGCCUGAGAGGGCGGACGGCCACACUGGAACUGAGACACGGUCCAGACUCCUACGGGAGGCAGCAGUGGGGAAUUUUCGCAAUGGGGCAACCCUGACGAAGCAACGCGCGUGGGGAUGAAGGUCUUCGGAUUGUAAACCCUGUCGACUGGGACGAAUGUAGAACGGCCUAAUACGCCGAGCUAUUGACUGUACCGGUGGAGGAAGCCACGGCUAACUCUGUGCCAGCCGCCGCCGUAAG
rnacentral:rRNA from 1 species